UGGGGAUGGCAGCCUGCCUCACGUUCCCUCCUGCCCAUUUCCUCGUUCUCCUGUCUUCACCGAUGAUCUGUUGAUCUCCGUGAUAAAGAUUCUGCUCAACUACCUGUUGAGGAGUCAACUUCCCAGACUCUGAGAGGAAAUGAACUGCUUGCCUCUGCAAUAGGCGGGAGAAGCAUCGACUUGUUAAACAGAGAUUCCUAGCCCCAUGGUUCUCCCACUGUAGGUCUUGUCGAUGAUCUGUGAAGUGCUUCAUUAAUGAAGGCACCGGCUGUGUGCACAGUGGUCUCGUCGAUGAUCUGUGUACUUACAGCACAGGGUUCCCCUUCCAUUCUCUUUCUCCGUCACUUGCCAUUCCUGCGUGCUAGCCUGAGAACUCUGCAGGCUCAUAAUUCUGUUGUCCGAGAAAGGCUUUAUGAAUUAUAGGCAUUAGGCUGCUGAGUGGUGGGAGAGUUAUUGGGGAGGUAUUCUAAUGGACAGGAUAUAUGAGUAUUUGCAUGGACAGGACCCAAUUACGGAUGGGCAUUAUGGCUUUGCGCAUGGUGGGUCACGUUUGCAGCGUUUUUUAAGAAGGUUUCCGCAAUGGUUGAAGCAGGUCCGUGGAUGAUGUCCACGUGGACUUGAGCAAGGCCUUUGACCAACCCCUGUGUGGGAAGAUUAGGUAGCUUGACAUUCCGGGUAAGCUAGUAAAUUGCAUUCGACGUUGGCUUAGAGGGAGAAGGCAGAGAGUGGUAGCAGGUGCUGACUGUCUGAUUGGAGACCUGUGACGAGGCUUGUGCUGCAGGGAUCGGUGCUGGGUUUAAUGUUGCUUAUCGAUGACUUAGAGUUUCACAUGUAAACUAGAUCAGCAAGUUUGCAGAUGACACCAAUAGCAGGGCCACUGCACAGCGAUGGUAACUAUCAAAGCUGGAAGCACGAUCUUGACCAGGUGCGACAAUGGGCUGAGAUGGAACUUAAUGCUGACAUCUGUGAGAUAAUUGCGUUUUGGGAACACAAACCAGGGUAGGACAUACACUACGAACAAACGGUAGGGUCCUGAGCAGAAGGAUCUGGGAAUAAAUACAGAGCCACAGGUAGUGGAGAUACAGGUUGAUAGGGAUGUAAAGAAAGCUUUCGGGAUAUUGGCCUUCAUUGAGUACAGGAAUCAGAAUGUUAUAGUGAAGCUGAAGAUGUUGCUCAGGUCUAGUUUGCUGUUUUGAUCACCUACCUACAGGAGAGGUAUUGUCAAGAUUGAAAGAGCACAGGGAAAAUUUGUAAGGAUGUUGCCAGGACUUGAGGACCUGGGUUACAGGGAUAGGUUGGGACUUUAUUCCCUGGAGCAUAGGAGAACGAGGGGGGGAUUUGAUGGAGGUAUGUAGAUGAUGAGGGGUUCAGAGAGGGCUCAGGCUGCAGGCUUCUUCCACUGAGGUUGGGUGAGAUAAGAAGCAGACAUCAUAGUUUUAGGGUGAAAGGUGGAACAAUUAAGGUGAAUCCGAGGAGGGAAUAACUUCACUCAGAGGGUGGUGUGAGUGUCGAAUGAGCUGCCAGUGGAAGUGGGAGAUCUGAUUUGAAGAGAUGUUUGAAUAGGUACAUGGAUGAAUGAAGUGUGAAGGUACAGGGGUAGGUAGGUGAGACCAGGCAGAGGCACAGAUGAUAUGUACUGAAAGGCCCGCUUCGAUGCUCUGUAAUAUUGCAGGUUUUAAUUUCACUUCCCACAAUGUGCUUCAUUUGCUUGGUAUUUGCCCUCUCACAGAACAAAGAGCAGUACAGCCCAGGAACAGGUCCUUCGGCCCAUCAAGUCUGUACAAAACAUGAUGCCAAAUUAAACUAAAUCCGUUCUGCCUGCAAGUACUCCUUAUCCCUCCACGCCGGCCACAUUCGAACUUGGGACCACGCACCUGGGAAUGCCAGUGGACUACAUAUUCAUGUGUCUACCUGGCACCUCUAUCACCCCUGGCUCACACCAUCUCUAUCACCCCUGGCUCACACCACCUCUACCACCCCUGGCUCACACCACCUCUACCACCCCUGGCUCACACCAUCACCCCUGGCUCACACCAUCACCCCUGGCUCACACCACAUCCCCUGGCUCACACCACCUCUACCACCCCUGGCUCACACCACCUCUACCUCCCCUGGCUCACACCACCUCUACCACCCCUGGCUCACACCACCUCUACCACCCCUGGCUCACACCACCUCUAUCACCCCUGGCUCACACCACCUCUAUCACCCCUGGCUCACACCACCUCUACCACCCCUGGCUCACACCACCUCUACCACCCCUAGCUCACACCACCUCUACCACCCCUGGCUCACACCAUCUCUACCUCCCCUGGCUCACACCACCUCUACCACCCCUGGCUCACACCACCUCUACCACCCCUGGCUCACACCACCUCUACCUCCCCUGGCUCACACCACCUCUAUCACCCCUGGCUCACACCACCUCUACCUCCCCUGGCUCACACCACCUCUACCACCCCUGGCUCACACCACCUCUACCACCCCUGGCUCACACCACCUCUACCUCCCCUGGCUCACACCACCUCUAUCACCCCUGGCUCACACCACCUCUAUCACCCCUGGCUCACACCACCUCUACCACCCCUGGCUCACACCACCUCUACCACCCCUGGCUCACACCACCUCUACCUCCCCUGGCUCACACCAUCACCCCUGGCUCACACCAUCUCUAUUACCCCUGGCUCACACCACCUCUAUUACCCCUGGCUCACACCACCUCUACCACCCCUGGCUCACACCACCACCCCUGGCUCACACCAUCACCCCUGGCUCACACCAUCUCUAUUACCCCUGGCUCACACCACCUCUAUUACCCCUGGCUCACACCACCUCUACCACCCCUGGCUCACACCAUCACCCCUGCCUCACACCACCUCUAUUACCCCUGGCUCACACCACCUCUACCACCCCUGGCUCACACCACCUCUACCACCCCUGGCUCACACCAUCUCUAUCACCCCUGGCUCACACCAUCACCCCUGGCUCACACCACCUCUACCACCCCUGGCUCACACCAUCACCCCUGCCUCAUAUCACCUCUAUCACCCCUGGCUCACACCACAUCCCCUUGGCUCAGAACACAUCUAUCACCACUUGAACACACCACCUCUCUCACCCCUGGCUGACAACACAUCCCCCUGGCACAGACCACAUUCCCCUGGCACACACCACCUCUAUCACCUCUGGCUCACAACAUCACCCUGACACAGACCACAUCCCCCUGGCUCACACCAUCUCUAUCACCCCUGGCUCACACCAACUACCUCAAUCUCUCUAAGUUCUCUGGGGCUUCCCAGCUUGCUGUCUGUUAGUGACAUUGGCAAAUCAAAGUUAAAGUCAAGGUCAGAAAUUAAUUUAUUAUCAAGGUACGUGUAUGUCACCACCUACGAUCUGAGAUUGAAAAACUAUCGAUAAAUACUGUCAAACAAUCCGUAUGCAAAGGAAGAUAAAUCGUGCAAAUGAUAAUUUUAAAAAGUAAUAAAUAAAUCUGUGAACUUGAGUUUGCAGAGUCCUUGAGAGUAAGUCUGUGGGUUGUGGAGUCAGUUCAGAGUUGAGGUGAGUGAAGUUAUCCACGCUGGUUCAGGAGCCUGAUGUUUGUUGGGUAAUAACUGUUCUCGAGCCUGGUGGUGUGGGACUUGUGGCUCCUGUACCCCCUGUCGAUUGAGAAGAGAGCGUGCCCGGGAUGGUGGGGGUCCUGAACAAUGGAGGCUGCUUUCCUGUGGCAGAUCUCCUUCGCUGCUCGUGGAUGUGCUCAUCCUUGGACUCGCUGACAGAUUGUAGUCGUUUUCAGGUCAUGUGCUUUAUGGAAGGGAGUCUUGUUUGUAGUCACAGAAAACCCAGUCUGUCCCAGCGGUCGGAUUGAUAAACUGGCACAAAGCAGCGGUCUGCAUUGGACUGAAGGCAGAAACCCUUCACUCCUGAGUGGGGCAUGAAACCACUGUGCCCUCAUCAGACCCAUCGCUGCCUGCCCAGGAAACCAGGGGCCUGUUAUCCACACACAGUGUUCCCAUCGCUGCCUGCCCAGGAACCCAGGGGCCUGUUAUCCACACACAGUGUUCCCAUCGCUGCCUGCCCAGGAAACCAGGGGCUUGUUAUCCACACACAGUGUUCCCAUCGCUGCCUGCCCAGGAACCCAGGGGCCUGUUAUCCACACAGAGUGUUCCCAUCGCUGCCUGCCCAGGAAACCAGGGGCCUGUUAUCCACACACAGUGUUCCCAUCGCUGCCUGCCCAGGAACCCAGGGGCCUGUUAUCCACACAGAACGUUCCUUCUGCUGCCUGCCCAGGAAACCAUGGGCCUGUUAUCCACACUCAGUGUUCCCAUCGCUGCCUGCCCAGGAACCCAGGGGCCUGUUAUCCACACAGAGUGUUCCCAUCGCUGCCUGCCCAGGAACCCAGGGGCCUGUUAUCCACACUCAGUGUUCCCAUCGCUGCCUGCUCAGGAACCCAGGGGCCUGUUAUCCACACAGAGUGUUCCCAUCGCUGCCUGCCCAGGAACCCAGGGGCCUGUUAUCCACACAGAACAUUCCUUCUGCUGCCUGCCCAGGAAACCAGGGGCCUGUUAUCCACACUCAGUGUUCCCAUUGCUGCCUGCCCAGGAACCCAGGGGCCUGUUAUCCACACACAACGUUCCCAUCGCUGCCUGCCCAGGAACCCAGGGGUCUGUUAUCCACACACAGUGUUCCCAUUGCUGCCUGCCCAGGAACCCAGGGGCCUGUUAUCCACACACAGUGUUCCCAUCGCUGCCUGCCAGGAACCCAGGGGCCUGUUAUCCACACACAAUGUUCCCAUCGCUGCCUGCCCAGGAACCCAGGGGUCUGUUAUCCACACACAGUGUUCCCAUCGCUGCCUGCCAGGAACCCAGGGGCCUGUUAUCCACACACAACGUUCCCAUCGCUGCCUGCCCAGGAACCCAGGGGCCUGUUAUCCACACACAGUGUUCCCAUCGCUGCCUGCCAGGAACCCAGGGGCCUGUUAUCCACACACAGUGUUCCCAUCGCUGCCUGCCCAGGAACCCAGGGGCCUGUUAUCCACACACAGUGUUCCCAUCGCUGACUGCCCAGGAACCCAGGGGCCUGUUACCCACACACAAUGUUCCCAUCGCUGCCUGCCCAGGAACCCAGGGGUCUGUUAUCCACACACAGUGUUCCCAUCGCUGACUGCCCAGGAACCCAGGGGCCUGUUACCCACACACAAUGUUCCCAUCGCUGCCUGCCCAGGAACCCAGGGGUCUGUUAUCCACACACAGUGUUCCCAUCACUGCCUGCCCAGGAACCCAGGGGCCUGUUAUCCACACACAGUGUUCCCAUCGCUGCCUGCCCAGGAACCCAGGGGCCUGUUAUCCACACACAGUGUUCCCAUCGCUGCCUGCCCAGGAACCCAGGGGCCUGUUAUCCACACACAGUGUUCCCAUCGCUGCCUGCCCAGGAACCCAGGGGCCUGUUAUCCACACACAGUGUUCCCAUCGCUGCCUGCCCAGGAACCCAGGGGCCUGUUAUCCACACACAUUGUUCCCACUGCUACCUGCCCAGGAACCCAGGGGCCUGUUACCCACACACAAUGUUCCCAUCGCUGCCUGCCCAGGAACCCAGGGGCCUGUUAUCCACACACAGUGUUCCCAUCGCUGCCUGCACAGGAACCCAGGGGCCUGUUAUCCACACACAUUGUUCCCACUGCUACCUGCCCAGGAACCCAGGGGCCUGUUACCCACACACAAUGUUCCCAUCGCUGCCUGCCCAGGAACCCAGGGGCCUGUUAUCCACACACAGUGUUCCCAUCGCUGCCUGCCCAGGAACCCAGGGGCCUGUUAUCCGCACACAGUGUUCCCAUCGCUGCCUGCCCAGGAACCCAGGGGCCUGUUAUCCACACACAUUGUUCCCACUGCUACCUGCCCAGGAACCCAGGGGCCUGUUACCCACACACAAUGUUCCCAUCGCUGCCUGCCCAGGAACCCAGGGGCCUGUUAUCCACACACAGUGUUCCCAUCGCUGCCUGCACAGGAACCCAGGGGCCUGUUAUCCACACACAAUGUUCCCAUCGCUGCCUGCCCAGGAACCCAAGGGCCUGUUAUCCACACACAGUGUUCCCAUCGCUGCCUGCCAGGAACCCAGGGGCCUGUUUUCCACACACAUUGUUCCCAUCGCUGCCUGCCCAGGAUCCCAGGGGCCUGUUAUCCACACACAGUGUUCCCAUCGCUGACUGCCCAGGAACCCAGGGGCCUGUUACCCACACACAAUGUUCCCAUCGCUGCCUGCCCAGGAACCCAGGGGUCUGUUAUCCACACACAGUGUUCCCAUCGCUGCCUGCCCAGGAACCCAGAGGCCUGUUAUCCACACACAGUGUUCCCAUCGCUGACUGCCCAGGAACCCAGGGGCCUGUUAUCCACACACAGUGUUCCCAUCGCUGCCUUCCCAGGAACCCAGGGGCCUGUUAUCCACACACAGUGUUCCCAUCGCUGCCUGCCCAGGAACCCAGGGGCCUGUUAUCCACACACAGUGUUCCCAUCGCUGCCUGCCCAGGAACCCAGGGGCCUGUUAUCCACACACAUUGUUCCCACUGCUACCUGCCCAGGAACCCAGGGGCCUGUUACCCACACACAAUGUUCCCAUCGCUGCCUGCCCAGGAACCCAGGGGCCUGUUAUCCACACACAGUGUUCCCAUCGCUGCCUGCACAGGAACCCAGGGGCCUGUUAUCCACACACAUUGUUCCCACUGCUACCUGCCCAGGAACCCAGGGGCCUGUUACCCACACACAAUGUUCCCAUCGCUGCCUGCCCAGGAACCCAGGGGCCUGUUAUCCACACACAGUGUUCCCAUCGCUGCCUGCCCAGGAACCCAGGGGCCUGUUAUCCACACACAGUGUUCCCAUCGCUGCCUGCCCAGGAACCCAGGGGCCUGUUAUCCACACACAGUGUUCCUUGUGGGCAGCUCAGGCGGGCAUGCUGGGCUGUCUCCGCUCACCUGCGGAUUCUGUACUCCUGGGUGCGGUGGGCCUGACCCUGUGAAGCAGGGCCUAGCCAGAGCAGUUGCAGGUGGAGGUGAUCUCUAUUACUCCCUCCCUGUUUGUACUGAGUGUGUAGAGGAGGGGUAGGGGGAGGGGGUAAUGUAGGGUUCCACCGGAGUGCCUCGCUCACCUGCUCUCUCUUCCAGGGCCCCUUGAUCGCCACGGCUUUCACAAAUGGUUACCACUAAAGCAGGGGCCUGUGAAUCUGAAAAAGGAGGGCCUGGCCGGUGAGCACGCGGAGAGGAUGUGGGUUUUAAAGCUCAGGCAGCUGUGAUCAUGUUACUGCACACGUAGAAUUACUGUCAUUAACCCGUCUCCGACCACCCACUCCACCCCACCCCACCCCACCCACCAACUGAAGAAAACAUCUCACUCCUUCACUAACACUUAAAGUUUACGCUUCCUUGUUUCUCCUGAGUUUUUUUUUGUAAUUUAUUUUAUUUUAUUUUUUUUAGCUUAACGAUCGAUCAGUUUUAAGCCGUGUCUUCUUUUUGUUGUUGUUGCUUAUUUGAAAGUGUUUAGAUGCAUUCUUUUGAAAAUGAGAGUUGUGUGAUUUAUUAGAACAUUUCGGUGAGGACAUUUUACUCCAUAUUUUUGACCAUUUUUUUGCCAGAUCUUGUUUUUAAACGAGUAAGAGCUGAAGAGGGUAAUGUAAAACACUCCAAAAGAAAAUGAAAUCUUGUCUAAAUACAAUUUAUUUUGAUAUUCUUUGUAAAUGUCAUCUAUUAACACUGAAUUCCAGUUAUCAUGGAACAAAAACAUCUGCAGGACAAAAAUGUAUAUUUUGGUAAAAAAACACUAUGAAUCAUAAAAGUAUUUUUUUCUGAAAUUGGAUAAAACAUUUCUGUAAAAUAUGUAAAUAGAACAAGCUGGAUUUGUAUUUGCCUUCUGCACAAAAGGUUUUUUUUUUUGAGUACGGUAGUAUUUUUGAGAAAAGGUUAGCUUCCAGGUCCUUACACAGCCUGUAACUUAGCAAUAUUGUAGUUAACACCCAGCAGAUUUUGUAGUCGUUGUCGUUAAGGGGCUAAUUUACUGUAGAGAUGCGUUUUUAUUCUCUGACUUCUCAUAUAAAUGAAGGACAUUGGUUAAAGAUAAUGAAAAUGACUGGUACCUCAAUGGGUCAUGAAGCUGCUAAAGAUUAAAAAAUCCACAUAUAAACGACAUAUCUAUAAAGGUUGUGUAGGCCAGCCUGGACUCCACUUUCAACCCUGGUUUUGAGAAGUAAUGGUUGUUGCUAUAGCUACUGCUGUUUUACCUCAACUGGUCGAUUCAACAAAGCUUUCAACUCUCCCAGUUUAUUUUUUGAAACGGUAUCCCAUAGUGUUUGGACAUGGCUAGUUCUCGUUUUUUCAUUUCUUUGGAAACUGCCUGCACUUCCAGCUCAGUAGCAAUGGGCCUUGGUAACUGAUGGUGCGCCGGUGGUGGAGGGGAAGCUGAUGUGGUCUUAUCUCCGGCUGACAGAGGAAAGGAGAUUGUUCUGCAAGGACUGGGAGUCAAGCCAAGCUGUGCUCCGCUCGCUUUAAGGGCAAGGGCAAGCCCACUUGUGGGAUUUUGUCAUUCCGGGCCCUCCCCGUACUCCUGCACCAUGUUUCCCAGCGCCAAACCACUGGCGAUGAUGGAAGGCGUGGCAAGAAGGUAAAGCCUGAGUAAUUACCACAGCUCCGCUGACAGCCAGUUUGAAAGGACAUUGGCUGAAAGUUUCCAGAGAGCCCAGGAGCCUGGAUCCUUUAGGCCUUGCUGGAAGAGAGAUGGUUCCGUGAGCAGGAGCAUGUGGAGAGCGAUUGCUAGAACCUUUUGUUUUAGAGGAGGAGAAAUGAUGUUGAUCCAACAAGAGGCUUCUCCUUAUCUGCAGGGUUUAACGUGUUUAAUUUAUGACAUAAUCACAGAUGGAACUUGUUACCUUGAACUAUUGUAAAAUACUUUUUUAUUAACAUGUUUUAGAGAGAGAAUGAAAGGUCCAGGGGCAGAUUUUUUUAAAUGGUUAAGGCCAGUUUAGUGCUUACAAUGAAGAGAAAAUAACAAAACAGAAACCUGUUUUUUUAAAAAGAAAAAUGUGAGCACAUUAAAUGCUGCAAUUUCUCUGUCAGUUUAUUCCGGGUCAUUUCUUGUCCUGAGUCAGUGGAGAGGCUGACGGAUCUGUGGAGAGUUGCUAGCUUUGCUCUUGAUUUUUAAUCGAUAAACACUACUGGAAAUGCAAACACUUUGUUUGUAACAGCAAUAAAUGCUAUUUGUGAAAAUGCAUCUGGGGAGCACAUUUUUUUCUGAUUUCUAUUUUUCUCUUCUAGACGAAGUGGUGUUUGGUAAAUAAUGUCUUGCUCCCCGAUGCAUUCUACUGCCAGGCAGAAGUUUUCGCUUUUUAAUCCUUUUUACGUUUGUCUAUUUUUUUUGCCAGUAAGUUAUUGCAAUUUGAGAAAUGUCAACUCUGGCUCUGUAACCCUUUUUCAGAUUUCAUUUAAAAUUCCUAAUAAAUUAUUUGAAACUUUC